rnacentral:rRNA from 1 species
UACGGAGGUUCCUAGCGUUGUUCGGAAUUACUGGGCGUAAAGGGAGCGCAGGCGGAUUGAUAAGUCCAAAGUGGAAUCCCGGGGCUCAACCUCGGACGUGCUUUGGAUACUGUCAGUCUUGAGUUCGUGAGAGGAAGGCGGAAUUCAGGGUGUAGCGGUGAAAUGCUUAGAUAUCCUGAGGAACACCAGUGGCGAAAGCGGCCUUCUGGCACGAAACUGACGCUGAGGCUCGAAAGCGUGGGUAGCGAACGGGAUUAGAAACCCCAGUAGUCC